rnacentral:rRNA from 1 species
AACGAACGCUGGCGGCAGGCCUAACACAUGCAAGUCGAGCGAACCCUUCGGGGUUAGCGGCGGACGGGUGAGUAACACGUGGGAACGUACCCUUUGCUUCGGAAUAGCCCCGGGAAACUGGGAGUAAUACCGAAUGUGCUCUACGGAGGAAAGAUUUAUCGGCAAAGGAUCGGCCCGCGUUGGAUUAGGUAGUUGGUGGGGUAAUGGCCUACCAAGCCGACGAUCCAUAGCUGGUUUGAGAGGAUGAUCAGCCACACUGGGACUGAGACACGGCCCAGACUCCUACGGGAGGCAGCAGUGGGGAAUCUUAGACAAUGGGGGAAACCCUGAUCUAGCCAUGCCGCGUGAGCGAUGAAGGCCUUAGGGUUGUAAAGCUCUUUCAGCUGGGAAGAUAAUGACGGUACCAGCAGAAGAAGCCCCGGCUAAACUCCGUCCAGCAGCCGCGGUAAAGUCUCUAU